UACAUAGGGGGCAAGCGUUAUCCGGAAUUAUUGGGCGUAAAGGGUGCGUAGGUGGCCGUUUAAGUCUUUGGUGUAAGUGCAAGGCUCAACCUUGUGAUGCUAAAGAAACUGAAUGGCUUGAGUGUGGUAGAGGCAAGUGGAAUUCCAUGUGUAGCGGUAAAAUGCGUAAAUAUAUGGAGGAACACCGGUGGCGAAGGCGGCUUGCUGGGCCACAACUGACACUGAGGCACGAAAGCGUGGGGAGCAAACAGG
rnacentral:rRNA from 1 species